rnacentral:rRNA from 1 species
AGAACGAACGCUGGCGGCAUGCCUAAUACAUGCAAGUCGAACGAACACUUCGGUGUUAGUGGCGCACGGGUGCGUAACGCGUGGGAAUCUGCCCUUGGGUUCGGAAUAACAGUUGGAAACGACUGCUAAUACCGGAUGAUAUCGAAAGAUCAAAGAUUUAUCGCCCAGGGAUGAGCCCGCGUAGGAUUAGCUAGUUGGUGAGGUAAAGGCUCACCAAGGCGACGAUCCUAGCUGGUCUGAGAGGAUGAUCAGCCACACUGGGACUGAGACACGGCCCAGACUCCGUACGGGAGGCAGCAAGGUAGGGAAUAUUGGACAAGUGGGCGACGAAGCCUGACUACCCAGACAAGUCGGCCGUCGGU